GGAGGUGGACGGUGCCUGGUGGUGCCCCUGGUCUUCAAAACCAGCGCAGGGUCGAGAAGGCCCUGGGUGGGUUCGAUUCCCAUUCGCCUCCGCCA
rnacentral:tRNA from 2 species